rnacentral:rRNA from 1 species
CCUACGGGAGGCAGCAGUGGGGAAUAUUGCACAAUGGGGGAAACCCUGAUGCAGCGACGCCGCGUGAGUGAAGAAGUAUCUCGGUACGUAAAGCUCUAUCAGCAGGGAAGAAAAUGACGGUACCUGACUAAGAAGCCCCGGCUAACUACGUGCCAGCAGCCGCGGUAAUACGUAGGGGGCAAGCGUUAUCCGGAUUUACUGGGUGUAAAGGGAGCGUAGACGGCAGCACAAGUCUGGAGUGAAAGCCCGGGGCUUAACCCCGGGACUGCUUUUGAAACUGGGCGGCUGGAGUGCAGGAGGGGUAAGCGGAAUUCCUGGUGUAGCGGUGAAAUGCGUAGAUAUUAGGAGGAACACCGGUGGCGAAGGCGGCUUACUGGACUGUAACUGACGUUGAGGCUCGAAAGCGUGGGGAGCAAACAGGAUUAGAUACCCCUGUAGUC